GAAGAUCUCAGCAUCAAAGGGCAACAACCCUGGCGUUAAAACACAUCGGAUCAAAUCUGAUAUUUACAAUGUAGUCAAAGGCACAGUGGCAUUGAAAAACAAAACGCUGGGAGAUGUAUAGUAAAAGAUUCGUUGUAAUCAUUAAUCUGGUUUUCAGCUAGGAGAAUUAACUCUUGAGAGAUGAUGCACACAGCAGGCCUUCGGAACCGGUGUGCUAGUUACUAGGGAGACCACGCCUCCUUCAGACCACGCCUCCUUCCCGCAGUUUACAUCUUUCCGGCCUUCUUGCCCAUCUGCGCCGGCACUCGGAGGAUGUUGGGGGUCUCCUCCAUGACUCUGACUAGCAGGUUGUCGAUGUAGUCCUCCAGCUCCCGCACCUGAAACUCCUUCUUGCUGAUGGUCUCCUUCUGUUUGAGGACUAGCUGGAUCAGCUCAUCGUGGGUCAGCUGCGCGUGUUAAAACACGCGCCACCACACCCGGCUUAGAAAGCCACUUUCCACAAAGGAUGAAACCAGGCGGCUGACGAGAAGAGAGAAGGACUUUGGAGUCUGUAGAGUAGGGCCGCGAGCGAUUACAAGCCUGAGCUACCACACCCUGUUUAUGUGCUCCUGAGGAUCAACCCCACGAUUCCUGAUUACUAAGCAAGAACUCCAUCAACUGAAUUAAACCCCGAGCCCUUUCCUUUUACUUACUUCUUAAAAUGACACACUCCCUGAGACGGAACCCGUGUUGGACACCGCUCCAGUCGUGAAGAACCUGAGACUAGACAGGCCACGGACCCAGGGAAAGCCAAAUACUCUGCUAAAGGGACAGAGCAAUAGAAGGACUCCUAAUGACACUCUGCCAUACCUAAGGUCUUGAGAAGUCCCAGCAACUGGACCAUCCCUCCCCUCGGGGCUCAGGGAACCCUGUGGAAGAGGAGGUAGGAAGAGUAUAAGGGGCAGAGGGAAGUACAGCAAGGCAAGAGGACUGACACGCCUGUGUUCCCACAGACGGGCAGCAUGCUCAGGUUCAAGCCAGGUGCCUCCCAGCACAGAGAGAGGAAGCGGACACCAGGCCCCACCUUAACUCAAAAAGCCAUCUCCAACUGACAACCAUUUACAAAGGAAACAUUAGUUUCUCCAAGUGAGUCUCCUUGGGUACACAAACCCACUUGAUGCGCAGGCCCCAUGCCCAGUGGUAGAUAGCCAACACAAAAUGAACAAUAGUAUUUUUGUAGAUUUUUUUUUUUUUUUGGUCUCUUAUUGCUUUAUCUGGAGGUUUUAUUUUUAAACCCUGCUGGUCAUUUGCUUAUAUAUUAUUGUUUCCAAUUUUGUGUUUUUAUUUUCUCUCUGUGUGUGUGUAUACUUUUCUGUUUUAUUCUGGCUUUUGUUUUGUUUUUACUUAUCUGUAUGUUCUGUAAAGAGAGGGGGGCAUGGAGUUGGAUGGGCCGGGAGGAUCUGGGAGGAAAGGAGGGAGGGGGAACCAUGAUCAAAUACAUUACAUG
ensembl:lincRNA